UGGGGAAUUGUUCGCAAUGGGCGCAAGCCUGACGACGCAACGCCGCGUGGAGGAUGAAGAUCUUCGGGUCGUAAACUCCUGUCGAGCGGGAAGAAUACCUUUCGAGUGAACAGCUCGGGAGGUUGACGGUACCGCGAGAGGAAGCCCCGGCUAACUCCGUGCCAGCAGCCGCGGUAAUACGGGGGGGGCAAGCGUUGUUCGGAAUUACUGGGCGUAAAGGGCUCGUAGGCGGCCGACUAAGUCUGACGUGAAAUCCCCCGGCUCAACUGGGGAACUGCGUCCGAUACUGGUGGGCUUGAGAUCGGGAGAGGGACGUGGAAUUCCAGGUGUAGCGGUGAAAUGCGUAGAUAUCUGGAGGAACACCGGUGGCGAAGGCGGCGUCCUGGACCGACACUGACGCUGAGGAGCGAAAGCCAGGGGAGCAAACGGGAUUAGAUACCCCGGUAGUCCUGGCCCUAAACGAUGAAUGCUUGGUGUGGCGGGUAUCGAUCCCCGCCGUGCCGGAGCUAACGCAUUAAGCAUUCCGCCUGGGGAGUACGGUCGCAAGGCUG
rnacentral:rRNA from 1 species